UUGAACAGGACCCAGUGAACUCAGUGCACGGUGGUUAUACACUAUUACACUCAUCUUCUACAGCGACACAUAACUCAGUGCACGGUGGUUAUACACUACUACAUAGCACAACAAGCUGGUUAUACUCCUAGUAUUACCUACACUGUCUAUGCAUCCCCAAUGGCACCCUAAUACCUAUGGGCGCUGGUCCAAUGUAGUGCACUGUAAUAGGGAACAGGGUAUCAUUGGGCCCUGGUCCAAAGUAGUGCACUAUACAGGGAAUAGGGUAUCAUUGGGCCCUGGUCCAAAGUAGUGCACUAUACAGGGAAUAGGUUAUCAUUGGGCCCUGGUCUAAUGUAGUGCACUAUAUAGGGAAUAGGGUAUCAUUGGACCCUGGUCCAAAGUAGUGCACUAUACAGGGAAUAGGGUAUCAUUGGGCCCUGGUCCAAAGUAGUGCACUAUACAAGGAAUAGGUUAUCAUUGGGCCCUGGUCCAAUGUAGUGCACUAUACAGGGAAUAGGUUAUCAUUGGGCCCUGGUCCAAAGUAGUGCACUAUACAGGGAAUAGGGUAUCAUUGGGCCCUGGUCCAAAGUAGUGCACUAUACAGGGAAUAGGGUAUCAUUGGGCCCUGGUACAAAGUAGUGCACUAUACAGGGAAUAGGGUGUCAUUAUUAUUAACACUUUGUUCACUAUGCAUCGUUAAGCCUAUAAACAACGCUAUGACACCAGUACGACGCCUGUCUUAAAUGCUUAUGACAGGUCAUGGACACUUCAUAACAAGUUAUAACCUUCACGCCCAGAGAGGAACUGGAUCAUAGAAUCAGAAGGUAUGAUCUUCACGCCCAGAGAGGAACUGGAUCAUAGAAUCAGAAGGUAUGAUCUUCACGCCCAGAGAGGAACUGGAUCAUAGAAUCAGAAGGUAUGAUCUUCACGCCCAGAGAGGAACUGGAUCAUAGAAUCAGAAGGUAUGAUCUUCACGCCCAGAGAGGAACUGGAUCAUAGAAUCAGAAGGUAUGAUCUUCACGCCCAGAGAGGAACUGGAUCAUAGAAUCAGAAGGUAUGAUCUUCACGCCCAGAGAGGAACUGGAUCAUAGAAUCAGAAGGUAUGAUCUUCACGCCCAGAGAGGAACUGGAUCAUAGAAUCAGAAGGUAUGAUCUUCACGCCCAGAGAGGAACUGGAUCAUAGAAUCAGAAGGUAUGAUCUUCACGUCCCCCCGACCAGAGGAAUCAGCGUGGAGACUAAACUUGGGGUGAGUCUCAGUGGUCUGAUAGUGGCCUCAUCUCCUUACUUUCCUUUCCUUUCCUUGAUUGACAUGAGGGAGAGGGAGGAGGACAGGAGGGAGAGGGAGGGAGGGAGGAGGACAGGAGGGGGAGGGAGGAGGACAGGGAGGGAGGGAGGGAGGAGGACAGGAGGGGUGAGUCUCAGUGGUCUGAAGUGGCCUCAUCUCCUUCCUUUCCUUUCCUUUCCUUGAUUUGAACUGAUCAGAGAAGACCAGACAGGUGAAAGGAAGUAUCUGAGUGGGGCAUCUUUCACCUGUCCUGUCAGUGUAGAUGAAAGAGAAGACAAAGAAGAGGAGGUGACUAUUGA